GUUGUGGCCUUGAGCCGUGGCUUUCGGAGCUAACGCGUUAAGUAGACCGCCUGGGGAGUACGGUCGCAAGAUUAAAACUCAAAUGAAUUGACGGGGGCCCGCACAAGCGGUGGAGCAUGUGGUUUAAUUCGAUGCAACGCGAAGAACCUUACCUACUCUUGACAUCCAGAGAAUCUAGCGGAGACGCUGGAGUGCCUUCGGGAACUCUGAGACAGGUGCUGCAUGGCUGUCGUCAGCUCGUGUUGUGAAAUGUUGGGUUAAGUCCCGCAACGAGCGCAACCCUUAUCCUUGUUUGCCAGCGAGUAAUGUCGGGAACUCCAGGGAGACUGCCGGUGAUAAACCGGAGGAAGGUGGGGACGACGUCAAGUCAUCAUGGCCCUUACGAGUAGGGCUACACACGUGCUACAAUGGCGCAUACAGAGGGCGGCCAACUUGCGAAAGUGAGCGAAUCCCAAAAAGUGCGUCGUAGUCCGGAUUGGAGUCUGCAACUCGACUCCAUGAAGUCGGAAUCGCUAGUAAUCGUGGAUCAGAAUGCCACGGUGAAUACGUUCCCGGGCCUUGUACACACCGCCCGUCACACCAUGGGAGUGGGCUGCAAAAGAAGUGGGUAGUUUAACCUUCGGGAGGACGCUCACCACUUUGUGGUUCAUGACUGGGGUGAAGUCGUAACAAGGUAGCGCUAGGGGAACCUGGCGCUGGAUCACCUCCUUA
rnacentral:rRNA from 1 species